GAAAUGCGAUAAGUAAUGUGAAUUGCAGAAUUCAGUGAAUCAUCGAAUCUUUGAACGCACAUUGCGCUCGCCAGUAUUCUGGCGAGCAUGCCUGUUCGAGCGUCAUUUCAACCAUCAAGCUCUGCUUGCGUUGGGGAUCCGCGGCUGCCCGCGGUCCCUCAAAAACAGUGGCGGGCUCGCUAGUCACACCGAGCGUAGUAACUCUACAUCGCUAUGGUCGUGCGGCGGGUUCUUGCCGUAAAACCCCCAAUUUCUAAUGUUGACCUCGGAUCAGGUAGGAAUACCCGCUGAACUUAAGC
rnacentral:misc_RNA from 1 species